AUGGUCAUCUUCUCAAUUAGUUUCUGCCGAUUUUUGCUCUCCUCCAUAGCUGGGGUUUCUUCAACUUUCAAGCUUCAUAUUUUUAUCAAGCCACUCGGGGACCGAAGGAAACGUCGGAGACCCGAUCACACUAUCGAAGAAAUCACAUUGGUAUAGUUAGACGUUUCGUUUUGUGUAUGGCAUGUAUAGGAACUUGGUUUCUUUUAAUAUGAUAUGAUCAAUGAAUGAUGUGUAAAUACUUGCUAAUGAGUUAGCUAAUAGAGUGGCUGAUGAUAUACAUGUUUAA